rnacentral:rRNA from 1 species
GACUCUCGGCAACGGAUAUCUCGGCUCACGCAUCGAUGAAGAACGUAGCAAAAUGCGAUACUUGGUGUGAAUUGCAGAAUCCCGUGAACCAUCGAGUUUUUGAACGCAAGUUGCGCCAGAAGCCUUUCGGCCGAGGGCACGUCUGCCUGGGCGUCACAC